rnacentral:rRNA from 1 species
GAUGAACGCUGGCGGCGUGCCUAAUACAUGCAAGUCGAGCGAACAGAUAAGGAGCUUGCUCCUUUGACGUUAGCGGCGGACGGGUGAGUAACACGUGGGUAACCUACCUAUAAGACUGGGAUAACUUCGGGAAACCGGAGCUAAUACCGGAUAACAUUUGGAACCGCAUGGUUCUAAAGUGAAAGAUGGUUUUGCUAUCACUUAUAGAUGGACCCGCGCCGUAUUAGCUAGUUGGUAGGGUAACGGCUUACCAAGGCAACGAUACGUAGCCGACCUGAGAGGGUGAUCGGCCACACUGGAACUGAGACACGGUCCAGACUCCUACGGGAGGCAGCAGUAGGGAAUCUUCCGCAAUGGGCGAAAGCCUGACGGAGCAACGCCGCGUGAGUGAUGAAGGGUUUCGGCUCGUAAAACUCUGUUAUUAGGGAAGAACAAAUGUGUAAGUAACUGUGCACGUCUUGACGGUACCUAAUCAGAAAGCCACGGCUAACUACGUG